rnacentral:rRNA from 1 species
UACGUAGGGUGCGAGCGUUAAUCGGAAUUACUGGGCGUAAAGGGUGCGCAGGCGGUUAUAUAAGACAGAUGUGAAAUCCCCGGGCUCAACCUGGGAACUGCGUUUGUGAUUGUAUGACUAGAGUACGGUAGAGAGGGGUGAAUUCCUGGUGUAGCAGUGAAAUGCGUAGAUAUCAGGAGGAACUCGAUGGCGAAGGCAGCCCCUUGGACCUGUACUGACGCUCAUGCACGAAAGCGUGGGGAGC